GGCACAAAUGAUGUAUCUUAUAGCGAUCAAAGCCUGAAUGUCUGUGAUUGCACUUAUUUCUGCUGAUGUGCC